CUUGAACGCUGGCGGCAGGCCUAACACAUGCAAGUCGAACGAGUGGCGGACGGGUGAGUAAUGUCUGGGAAACUGCCUGAUGGAGGGGGAUAACUACUGGAACCGGUAUCUAAUACCGCAUACCAUCGGAUGUGCCCAGAUGGGAUUAGCUAGUAGGUGGGGUACAGGCUCACCUAGGCGACGCUCCCUAGCUUGUCUGAGAGUAUGACCAGCCACACUGGAAAUGAGACACGGUCCAGACUGCUACGGGAGGCAGCAGUGGGGAAGAUUGCACAAUGGGCGCAAGCCUGAUGCAGCCAUGCCGCGUGGAGGAAGAAGGCAUUCGGGGUGUAAAGUACUUUCAGCGGGGAUGCGUUACCCGCAGAAGAAGCACCGGCUAACUCCGGGCCAGCAGCCGCGGUAAUUC
rnacentral:rRNA from 1 species